rnacentral:misc_RNA from 1 species
AACACUGUUAACCUGCGGUACCUGCGGAGGGAUCAUUACAGGACUCGCAAGACUCCUUAAACCCCUGUGAACUUACUGUUUAUACGUUGCUUCGGCGGGUGCUCCGGGGUCCGCCCCGGGGCGCUGCGCCCGCCGGCAGCCUACUUAAUUCUGUUUCUCUGCGUUGGCAUCUCGAGUAAGCAAAAUAAGUUAAAACUUUCAACAAUGGAUCU